rnacentral:rRNA from 1 species
GACGAACGCUGGCGGCGUGCCUAAUACAUGCAAGUCGUGCGGACCUUUUAAAAGCUUGCUUUUAAAAGGUUAGCGGCGGACGGGUGAGUAACACGUGGGCAACCUGCCUGUAAGACUGGGAUAACGCCGGGAAACCGGGGCUAAUACCGGAUAGUUUUUUCCUCCGCAUGGAGGAAAAAGGAAAGGCAGCUUCGGCUGCCACUUGCAGAUGGGCCCGCGGCGCAUUAGCUAGUUGGCGGGGUAACGGCCCACCAAGGCAACGAUGCGUAGCCGACCUGAGAGGGUGAUCGGCCACAUUGGGACUGAGACACGGCCCAAACUCCUACGGGAGGCAGCAGUAGGGAAUCUUCCGCAAUGGACGAAAGUCUGACGGAGCAACGCCGCGUGAGUGAAGAAGGCCUUCGGGUCGUAAAACUCUGUUGCCGGGGAAGAACAAGUGCCGUUCGAAUAGGGCGGCGCCUUGACGGUACCCGGCCAGAAAGCCACGGCUAACUAC